AACGAACGCUGGCGGCGCGCCUAAUACAUGCAAGUCGGAGCGAGAAGACGUAGCAAUACGUUUGUAAAGCGGCGAACGGGUGAGGAAUACAUGGGUAACCUACCCUCGAGUGGGGGAAUAACUAGCCGAAAGGUUAGCUAAUACCGCGUACGCUCCUUGGACUUCGGUUCAGGGGAGGAAAGCGAUACCGUGGGUAUCGCGCUCUUGGAUGGGCUCAUGUCCUAUCAGCUUGNGGUGAGGUAACGGCUCACCAAGGCUUCGACGGGUAGCUGGUCUGAGAGGACGAUCAGCCACACUGGCACUGCGACACGGGCCAGACUCCUACGGGAGGCAGGCAGUAAGGAAUAUUGC
rnacentral:rRNA from 1 species